rnacentral:rRNA from 1 species
GACGUAGGGCGCGAGCGUUGUCCGGAUUUAUUGGGCGUAAAGAGUUCGUAGGCGGUUUGUCGCGUCGUUUUGUGAAAACCAGCAGCUCAACUGCUGGCUUGCAGGCGAUACGGGCAGACUUGAGUACUGCAGGGGGAGACUGGAAUUCCUGGUGUAGCGGUGAAAUGCGCAGAUAUCAGGAGGAACACCGGGUGGCGAAGGCGGGUCUCUGGGCAGUAACUGACGCUGAGGAACGAAAGCGUGGGUAGCGAACAGG